AUGCUCCUCGGCUACCUCAUCCUUGCUGCCUUCCUGAGAAAACCACUGGGAGCAAUGGGAGAGACCAGGGUCACCCAGGAAGAAGGAGAAGUCACAGUAAAGGAGAGAGAUGCCUUCCAGACCACCUGCACCUACCAGAUUAGUAACUUUUAUGGCUUGGCUUGGUACCAGCAGAAGAAAGACCAAGCCCCACAGCUCAUCUCGUAUCAGGCAGCUGCUGGCCUCAAGCAGAGUGGCCGUUUCACCACGCUGCUGAACACCACAGGGAAAUACAGCCUCCUGCAGCUGCAGGAGGUCGAGCUCUCUGACAGUGCCUUGUACCUCUGUGCUGGGCAAGACACGCUGGUGCAGGGAGCUGCCUCAGCUGUGCAAUAACACAGGGAGGGAGGGUCCCUCAGCUCUCCACUGCCAGCACUGCUUCGCCUGUGCUCCCAGAGCUCUGCACAGCAAGAUCCUCUUUCUGACAGGCCCAGUGACUCUGGACGUGGCUGAGCCUGACCAUGGGGCAGAGCCUGCUGGGAACCAGGGUGCUAGGGGCUUGCUCUCAGCCCUGCACAACCAGUGGCAGUAAAUUCCUGGGAGCCCAGGACUCAUUAGGUACAUCAAGCACCAGCCAGACCUAUGAGGAGGUCCUGAGAGCACAUUUGGAUUGAGG